UUGAAUUUUACUGGGGGCUUGAAUGCUGGUAGUCUUUAUAGAUUGCAUGUGCUCGCUCCUUUAAUCUACUUACACAUGUGCACUCAAUUUUGAAGGUAAGGUGUAAAAGCCUGUCUUUGAAAUCUUUGCAAACUCUUAAUGUGAUGGAUGCUUUUGUUUGCUGAAAGGCAAAAUCUAAUA
rnacentral:misc_RNA from 1 species